UGGGGAAUUUUCCGCAAUGGGCGAAAGCCUGACGCAGCAACGCCGCGUGGGGGAUGAAUGCCUUCGGGUUGUAAACCCCUUUCAGCAGGGACGAAAUUGACGGUACCUGCAGAAGAAGGUCCGGCCAACUACGUGCCAGCAGCCGCGGUAAUACGUAGGGACCGAGCGUUGUCCGGAAUUAUUGGGCGUAAAGAGCUCGUAGGCGGUUCAGUAAGUCGGGUGUGAAAACUCAAGGCUCAACCUUGAGACGCCACUCGAUACUGCUGUGACUUGAGUCCGGUAGAGGAGUGUGGAAUUCCUGGUGUAGCGGUGAAAUGCGCAGAUAUCAGGAGGAACACCAACAGCGAAGGCAGCACUCUGGGCCGGCACUGACGCUGAGGAGCGAAAGCAUGGGGAGCAAACAGG
rnacentral:rRNA from 1 species